UACGUAGGGACCAAGCGUUGUUCGGAUUUACUGGGCGUAAAGGGCGCGUAGGCGGCGUGUUAAGUCAGUUGUGAAAUCUCCAAGCUUAACUUGGAACGGUCAACUGAUACUGAUGUGCUAGAGUGCAGAAGGGGCAACCGGAAUUCUUGGUGUAGCGGUGAAAUGCGUAGAUAUCAAGAGGAACACCUGAGGUGAAGACGGGUUGCUGGGCUGACACUGACGCUGAGGCGCGAAAGCUAGGGGAGCGAACGGG
rnacentral:rRNA from 1 species